rnacentral:lncRNA from 1 species
GCCUAUGCGCAAUUGCAAUCGAGAGUGGUUUGUAUCUGAAUGAUCCUUCUUUCCUUUGUGUUUGUGCAUCAAAACUCAGUGAAUGCGAAUGGUCCAUUCUCCAUUUUUGCUUCAUUUUUCCACUUUGUUGUUAGUUUGUUUCGUCAGAUCCAACAUUAACUCAACUCAUCAGGAUCCACUAAUUCUAAAAGGGUCAGAUUCCUUCCCAUUAUUUUUGAUAAUAUUUAGGCGAAGAUGCCAGAAUCAAUAGAACUUAAUAACCCAUCUUCCUCUUUGAUGGAAGUUGAAAGUGAUGCCUCAGCAGCUGAGUCGGACUCAGUUCCUGAGCUGGAGAAGGGCCGAAAGGAUCUUUUGGAGAAGAAGGGCCUUCUGUUGAUAUGGCCAGCAAAACCAAACAAUCCCUCUGGAAGAAGAAAUCCAGGAAACGUAUGUCAACGCUCGGUCUCAAACCGUUGGUUACACCAUAAGAGGAAAGUGUCAAAACAAAAUUUGAUGAAUUUGGAAUUGAUGACAAGGAUAUCGAUUUGGUCAUUGCGUAGACAAAUUACAGUAUUGGAAAAGGAAUUGAAGGACUUGAUUAAAUCUAAUAAACAAAAAUGACUUGUCAACGCGAUCAUGGCAAAUAUUCAGUUUAAAUCCUGCAGGUUCGGGUGCAGCAAGGUUGCCCCACCACUGAACUCAACCUGUGCAGCGCUCGUAACGCGGCCAAAGGAUAAGCUCACUUACUGACAAACCUCAUAACCUGAUUAGCCUCGGAUAGGACCGGAAAUAUGGAUCAUAAAAAAGGACUGUCAAAUAAACAACGAUAUGGAAUAACGGAGUAAGAAGAGAUCGCGGACGUCUCAGGGAGAGAUUGGUUAAUUUUAGUGGCACAGAGGUUCCGAACAGGCAUUAAUACCUAACCCGUGAGAGGAAGAAGAAUAUUAUAGUUGUAAUACAAGUUUUCAGUCCAUCUCCCUCAUUGACGAAGUUUUAAUUGACGGCUCAGCAUUUGUGUCAGUCAGCUCACUCAGUUCCUGAAAGCUUUCGAUAUGCGAGAGGUGAAGAAGGGCCUUCUGUGAGCAGUGCUAUGAGCAGUUUAUUUCACGGAGAGGAUAUAAACAAUUAUCACGAAUGAUUGGAAUCUUAUCGACUACUGUACAUUGAAUUACUAUCAAGACUGAGAAGAAAUGAUACUAGACAAAUCAGCUUUACCUGAAAUCCCGUAGAUACAAGGAGUCUCAAGUGGAACAAGACGCAAUUGAAAACGUUUUGUCUUCAAGAACCAGAUGUUUUCAGUAAUCCAGGAGGCUAUUUGAUACGUGGUUUCGGUGAAGCUGAGAUAUUCAGAUGGAAUAUAUCGGACAAGGCCAGAGGCACUGCUGAAUAGUUGAAAGAACAUAAAGUGUCCGCCGCAACAGCUGCUGGAGGUUGUAAUAUGUUCGUUACUCGAAGAGGAAAGUUCCAGUUGACGAGGAAACGGUGAAGGAACCGCUGACAAUCACUUGGUGAUGUCACAAAAGAAUGUCAUAUUACAAUGAUCAUUGUGAGUAUUGGUUGAACAUGAUGCCAUAAAUAAUUAUUUACAGCUAGUUAUUUGUAGACUUUCUGUAUUUUAUAUAAAAACGUCAAGUAGCUCACAGAAAACCAACAACAAACGGUGAUGUAGAAAUAAAUCAUGGAGGAAUUUAAUAGAUAUUCAUCAAUAACUCACGAAUUACAAUUGAAUAUCUUCAAGGAAAGAACACAGAUAGGAUGCAAAGCACUAUCAUAAGAAGGAAGUGAACUUUGUAACAUGCUAGAUGAUUAUUGUCAGGCACGAUUCAGGAGGCAAAAAUGUAGACUGAAUACACAAAUAUUCAAACGUAAUGUUUUUGCUGUACUCUAUUCUGACUUUAAGCAUAGAAACUACCUUGAUCCAAUAUUACUUGCUAAUUAAGCUUGAUCGGUAAACAGAUGCAUAAUAACAUUGGCAAAGCCGGUCUUGAUAUUUGUUUUAUUACAUUAUUUUUCAUAGGUAUCAUUCAAUUGUAAUUUGAAUAGUAACUUUAAUACUUUAGGCUUUGUUGUAAGUUAGUAGAAUUGAUGGUGAUGUUGUGAAAUCUCUCCAUAAUAAGAAAACAAAGAUAUUGUCUCCUCAGGAUUCCUCAGUACAGCUGAUGAUGCGUUGGUACUGUUUUAAUAAAUUUUUAGUGAAAUUUGACAAUAUCUUUGUUUUCCUAUUUUGUUCUAAGUGUUUAUUAGAUAGGUAGGUGUUCUAGUAUUUUGACUGAAGACCAAUGACCAUGCUGUCUGGUAUUGUAAUACCCACUUACUGGUGUGUCAUGAUCUUUGUUAAUAAUUGUAAAAAGUUUAUUGUAAAGAUUUUUAUUUUUUGAAUGUUGACUAGAUAUCCAUCAGUAAUAAUAUUUACAUAACAUGUACUGUACUGCUUAUAGUAUGAAUCCUAAAUUCAACAUAAAUUUCAAUUCAAUUUAUUUAUUUUUCAAAAAACAUGAUACAAUGUAUAAUGUGAAAUACAAUACAUUAUAGUGAGUACUAUAUUAUAUACCACGUUAUAAUGGCAGUGGAGAAAGAUAGGAGAAAAACGUUGCCGACCCUCUGUCUUGUCAAUGCCUUCAAUAACUGUAUCUGAUACAGGUUUAAUUAUGUAAUAUUAACGGUUCAUUCUCGUUUAAAAUAAUCAAUUAUAUUUUAUUAAGCAAGAAAUUAUAUUUUACAAUAAUUUCAUAAUGAAUUUUCAUGAUUAAGAUAAAUAUUUUGUUAAUUAAUUAUUAAUUCUACAUUGUUAAAAGACGAUCAUGCCAACUGUGCGGUCGGGUAUAAUUAAUAUAAGUAUUAUAAAUAAUAAAUAUAAUUAAUAUAAAAACGCUCUACUUCAUCAUUUUAAAAAUACGCAUCCAGUCUCCAGCGUCAGCAUUUCGCUUUUCUGUGGAGAACUUUUCAAAUGCAACAUUUGUAACAUCAUCAAUCCCUCUUACGAGCGUUUAAUGUUACACUCAAAGCAAAGCGAGAAAGAGAUAGCGCUAUUCGCUUUGUUGAAUUAUAGACAAGGAUAGCAAUACCAUUGCUAAUCAAACACUGCCAUUAUAACGUGGAUCUCACUAUACAUAUUUUGGAAUACCCCCAUCCCUAUCCAUUUGUCUGUAGGGGUGGGGGGGAGUUCCACGUUAUUACAUAAGCUUAAUCUGCUCAUAGAAGUUAGAAGUAAAUAAUAGAGAAUAUAAUAAUUAUAAUGCAGAUCUAUUAUCAAUACUUUGAUUAUAAAAUAGAUAAUUCAUUGUGCUGUAUAUUUUAAUGAAGGAAUACUUGAUGCAUUGAUUGAUUAGGAAACUAAUUUAAAAUUUAGCGCCGGCUUCCGAGCUCGGGAUUCAGCUAAGUUCUAGACUUUAACUUGCUUUAAACUCUGGAGUCAGAAAAUUGGCUUUCCGAGUCAGAGCGUUAACGUAGUUGAGGACUUGAAUAGACUCUGGAGUUUAGAGAUCACGUUAGACCCUGGAGUUUAUAAUUUCGCUUUCUGAGUGAAGGGCUUAUAAGUCCAGGACUUAAAUUAGAUUCUCGCCUCUUUCCGAGUCGAGGAUUUAUAAAAAAUCGUCAAGUCCAGAACUUAAAACAGAAAAAUUUUAAACCCUCGACUGGGGUAGGGUUUAAAUUUAAGUUCUAGACUAACACACAAUUCAGUUAUUGUUUUGUAGUAGAUGAAAAGCCAAAUAGAUGUCAUGGAAUACCUAAAUUAUUUGGAUUAGUCCAUCUAAAUUCAUAAUUUAUAGUUUGCAAGUUUAUUUUGCAAUAAAAUUGUAUCAAAAUUAUGCGUAAAAAACUAACCUUAUUUUACGAAUGUGACAUAACCUAAAAAUGAUCAAGAAAAAUAAUACAAGGAUUGGCUUGGAAUUUAUAUUCAAUCUGAAUGUUAUUAAUCAAUGUCAUAUUCAACAUAUUAAUAUAACAAUAAUAAAUUAAUAUUCCAAUUUUUUUUUCAAAACAAAUACGUUUUCAAACUCAAUAGCCUAAUGAGAUUUUUAUUCCAAAAUCACUGGUUAGGAUCAAUGAUCAAUAAUAGCAUAAAGUAAAAUAAAAUGUUUAUUCAUUCAUCUUUCAAAAGGUUAGGUUUUGCUUUGAAUAGGCCUACAAAGAAAUCGAAACGUAUUUUCACAAAAUAGUUUGGAGAGCAUGCUCAUUUGAAUUAUCCCGCUGCAAUCAGCUGUUUUCGUUUUGCUAUAAUGCCAACAAUAUAACAGCAAAAUAUUGUGAAUUUCCCUCAUGUUUACUAAAUUAAAGUCCUGGACUCAAAUAAGUCGAGAACAUUAUAGACCCCGGAGUUUAGAAUAUAAAAUCGUGACUCAGAAAAUCGAUUACGAUCCGAGCGCUUAAUUCAGUCCUGGACUUAGUAAGUCUAGAACUUAUAGAUCCCGAGCUCGGAAACCACCCCUUAAUAUUUUCGCUAACUCUUAUAUGAUGUACUCUGCUCUGACUGAGCAUAGAAACUACCUUGAUCCAGGCUCAUUAAAUACUAGUUGUGAAUAAAUAAAAAAAACAAUACUUAAUUGAAGACCGUAGUGGCUGGGAUAUUCCAGAAAGUCUCAGAAGAGAGAAAAAAGCCAUUAACCAAACAGGCAAAACAGUCAAUCCGGUAAUAUCAAUGAUAAAAUAAAUACCAAUCAAUUGUCUGGAAACUUUGAAGACGUGUUGGUCACCGAACAUAACGAGAUUGGAGUAGUUCUUCUGAUGCUUCCCAACCAAUCUGGUUCACCCUUCCUAAACACUACCAAACUAAGCGCCUCUGCUUCCUUAAUCACCCCUGGCACAUUUCUGUACAACAUAUGGGCCAGGUAUGAAGGAUUUGUCAGUUCAGAGCCAUGAGACAGCUUAGGUAUCUCAAAGUUGUAAUUGGAUCUGUGACGAGUUGAGUAGCUAUGGUUAACUAUUUCUCCUAGAAGUUCCGUUUUGUAUUUUUUUAUGUGGAUCAACAAAGAUUUAAAAAAGCUGUCUAACAUCCAGUACGGGAAAUUUGAUGAACAAUUGUAUUAUUGGAUAUCUAAAGUCUCUUCUCAAGAUUGUUUUAUAAUAGAUCUUUGGGUGACUGCAAGAGGCUCAAUGACUGAGGAGGAAGCCCCUCCCCAAGCUAGAAUUCCAUAUAGUAUUAUAGAUCGGACAUAGACAAAGUAAACUGCUUUGCAUUGAUCCACACUCAGAACAUUACUCAGCUCUGAGAAUGCGUGAAGCAGCUUUCUGAGCCUAUUCUUAGCAAUAUCAUUAUUUAUCAGACCGUUCAACCUUCUUAACAAAUAAUUAUUUUUCAUUAAUCUGCAGACUGGUUUUGUUGAUUUAGUCUUCUUGACACUAGUUUUAGCCUGGUUAUUUUCAGUAACUCUAGAACUAGUACCUGUGUUUGUUGAUGACAAAGGUUCUGCACUCAAAUCAAUAUCAUUAUCUAUCACACUACACUUUUCAUGAGUCCUUGGAAACGGUAUUUCCUCAGGUCCUUGAAUUUUGUUAAAAUGGUCAAUAUUUUCAGCAAGCUGAAUCAGUUCCUCAUCUUCAAUAUCUGACUCAAUAUCAUUCACCUCAGAAUCAACAACAUCCGGAAUAUCAACAUAAAUGUCCUCAGCAUUAAACUUUUCAGACAAUGAAUUCAUAAUAAAAACUCAGAAUAUAUUAUAGUAUAACAAUAUAGUUCUUACAAUUUCUACAAACUCAUGUUCACCUAUAGCAACCUAACCUCUACACUUCUGAGGUUAGUGACCACUGUUGUUCAUGAACAACACAAAGUUUUCACACUCAAAAAUGAACUCAGAAUUCUGAAAUCAUGACUGAUUGAAGUUAAAGAUGGAUUUCUCCUAUUUAUAUUACACAAAAAUAUAAAAUAACAUGUCUUGGAAUGAAUUUAAAUGGUAUAAAUAAGUUCAUAUUUCAAUUUCAAUUUAUUCCAGACAACUUAUUUAACAUAAGUAUUUUAAGUCUAGUAUGAGCUGGAUGAUAAUGAUGAUGGUGCUAGAGAUGAAGAGUGAGUUACAGUGCAUCACUUAUAUCACUAAUUAAAUAACACAAUAUACAAAGACUAUGCUAAUAAGAUUACAAAACUAAACAGUAAGACUAAUUAUUUUACAACACUAAAUUAACUUACUUAUAACAAAAAUUAGUAAUUCUAAUAAUUUUAUCUAAACAAACAGCAAGUCAGAUUUACUAAAUUCAUUAAAUUCAGUGAUGGAUAAAAAGCCUUGCCCUUUAUCCAGUUACCCAAUACUGACUUGAACUAAUCUUCACCAAAGGUACUGCACGGGCACUGGCGGGAAGGGCGUUAAAGAGUUCAAUACCUACAUAAUUAUGGCUUUUGUGGAUCUUAGUUAGCCUGGAAUAAAAUAGAUCUAUUGUGUGUUUUUUUCUAGUGUUGUGUGCAUGAAUAGAUGUUCUGGUUGUAAGUUUAUUGAUAUUUUCUUCAAUGUAAGCUAUACAGCUAUAUAUGAACUGGGCACUGUCAUUAUUUUCAAUUUCUUAAAGUACUUCCUGCAGGAAUCUUGAGGAGACAGCCCACAGAUACAUCUCAGAGCUUUCUUUUGCCAUUUAAACACUCUGUCUGAGCCAGUGGAGUUACCCCAGAGUAUUAUGCCAUAUGUUAGUAGGUGGCUAUGGAAAAACGCAAAAUAGAAACUCAGCAGCAAGUUGUUACUGACAUUACUUUUUAAUUUAAGCAACAGAAAAUUAACUCGUGCAAGCCUAGAGCAAAUUAAGGCCACAUGAUCCUCCCAGUUCAGUUUUC